AGUUGCCAUCAUUAAGUUGGGCACUCUGUGGAGACUGCCAGUGUCAAACCGGAGGAAGGUGGGGAUGACGUCAAGUCCUCAUGGCCCUUAUGACCAGGGCUACACACGUGCUACAAUGGCCGGUACAAAGAGUUGCGAUACCGCGAGGUGGAGCUAAUCUCAUAAAGCCGGUCUCAGUUCGGAUUGGAGUCUGCAACUCGACUCCAUGAAGUUGGAAUCGCUAGUAAUCGCGGAUCAGCACGCCGCGGUCGAAUACGUUCCCGGGCCUU
rnacentral:rRNA from 1 species